GUAACCCACCCACCCACGCACGGCAGGAGCGGGGGAACCACAGGUAAGCCGCCGAUCCGGGAGACCGGAACGGCUCGGGGUGAAGCCGCGCCCACCAGCGCGACCGGGCAUCUCCCGCCCGAACCCGACAGCUCACCUCGCAGGCGUCGGAGAGGACAUUU
rnacentral:sRNA from 2 species